ACGGGAGGCAGCAGUGGGGGAUACUGCACAAUGGAGGGAACUCUGAUGCAGCAACGCCGCGUGAAGGAAGACGGUCUUCGGAUUGUAAACUUUUGUUCUUAGUGAAGAUAAUGACGGUAGCUAAGGAGAAAGCCACGGCUAACUACGUGCCAGCAGCCGCGGUAAUACGUAGGUGGCAAGCGUUGUCCGGAAUUACUGGGUGCAAAGGGAGCGCAGGCGGGAAAUCAAGUUGGAUGUGAAAUGUCGGGGCUUAACCCCGGAACUGCAUCCAAAACUGAUUUUCUUGAGUGAAGUAGAGGUAGGCGGAAUGCCGAGUGUAGCGGUGAAAUGCGUAGAUAUUCGGAGGAACACCAGUGGCGAAGGCGGCCUACUGGGCUUUAACUGACGCUGAGGCUCGAAAGUGUGGGGAGCAAACAGGAUUAGAUACCCUGGUA
rnacentral:rRNA from 1 species